AUUUUUUUCAUUUACCCUCCAUUUAAUGCUGGUGAGAGAGAAAACAUGUUAUUAAAUUAUGUAUAUUAAAUAAAGAAAAUUUGAAAACUUAUUAAAAUUUUAGAUAGAAUUAAUGAAACCUCUCUCUUGAUACAAAGAGUUCUAGGUUCUAUCUCCCGUAGGUCCAAAAAUGGGUGGUGAUUAAAAAUUUGUUAGGUUAGGCGGGUCAUUGUGUAGGUUGUGUAAUGAUCCUAAAUUUAAAAAAAUAAAUAAAUAUAUAAAUUAAUAAUUUUUUUAAGUGAUAUUUUAUUUAAAUUAAUUUUAUAGCAAGUGGAGAGAGAUAACUUAAUAAAAUUAUGUUAAUGACUUCCUUAAAGCUUUAGAGUUUGAAUUCUAUUCGGUAAAAAAUUGAUUUUUUAUUUUAUUUUAAAUUAUAGUAAAAUUUUAUGUCUUUUCUUGUAAUUUUCAUCGUGCCUGUUUUGUAAUUUUUUUCAAUUAAGUAUUAGUGUCAGAUUUUUUGUUCCUGCACCGCCAUUCGAAAGUCGGAAGGUAAUGAAAGGGUAAGAAAUUACACAUGUGCCCUUGUUUCCAUGGUAACUCAACAAAAAUAUCUAAGGAGGUUAUUGUAAUUUUCCUUUUCAUGAUUUAAAAAAUUUGCCUUCCCUUUCUCGGUCAGCAUCGGAGAGAAAAAAGCAGUUCUUUGAUUUUCUUUCCUUCUUCAUCUUCCUCCGUCUUCGGCGUCAUCAAGUGAGAGUGUGCCAGAGCUUCAUCCGUCACUGCUUGUCAGAUCAUCAACGUCCUUCUCCUUCCUCUGUGCGAGUGAUGAUGUGAAUGUUCAAGUCUCUCUCUUCCCUUUCAUUUUCCUUACCGUUCGUCGCUGCUGAAGACCAUGGAAGCUCUGUUGAAGCUCUUCCUCUGUUAGCAUUUAAGACUCUUCUUCCUUCUCGCCGUCCGCUGCUGGUGACUGGAGAAAAACACUGAAACCCCUUCCUUUGACAGUGCUGUGGCGCGCGUUCUCAUUGGGCUUCUUCCUCCCCUGUUUUUCUUUAUUGUGAACUCCUCUCCUCUCCUCCCUCUGUUCGAGCUGCUGUGACAGGAACUUAGAGAUCAAGCAUUGACGCAAGAGUGCCAAGUAGAAGUAAGUUUUACGUUUGAGAACUUGUCAGAUGGUAUGGUUGAACUCGUGACUCGAGAUAUCCACUGAGGAGUGUUAUUGCUGAAUUGAAGCUGAAGAAUUAUUUUUGUCAAAUCCUAAAUUGAUGAAAAAAUUUGAACUUUAUACCUACGUUGGUGUCUGGCCUUAGAUGCUCCACGUAGACUACAGGUAGGAUCCUUACAUUUCUUUUAAGAUUAGAUAUCUGAUUUAAUAUUGUAAUAAUUUCUAACUACUCUAUUAGUGUGUUUAACGUAUUAAUUUUAGAGUUUCUCCGAUCACGGCUUAAGGGAUAUGAGUGUUGUGCCCAUAUCCCGUGCCGAUCACACCUAAUUUUUGGGGUGUGACAGGUUGUGUGCCGUGUGCUGGGUGGUGAGUGAGUGAUGGAUGUGUGUGGGAUCCCCCUUCCCUCUAGGGAAGGUUUAGAGAGGUUUGAUACAAAAAAAGUAUAGAAUUAAUGAGUUUUAAAAUUUUCUUUAAUUUUCUUAAAACAUAUUAGAAAUAACGUAUAAACAAGAUCAAAAAACUAUCUUCCUUUCAGCGGUUGAAGUGUAAUGAUUAUAGAUUUGCAAUGCAUUGUAUGUCCCAUAAUCGGUCCCAUUCUUCUACCCUUUACAAGGAGUUGAUGACUAUUCAUAUAGCUAUUAUCUUAACACCAAAAAAGAGGAAAAAUGAGGGAGUCAUGCACCUACCACAAAGGCAACACGAUCACCAAAACAUUUAACAAUCUCUUCUGCAAAUAAAGGUUCACCAACACCGUACGGAGACACAGAACCAGCAUUUUCCCCACCAUCA